UACGUAGGGUGCAAGCGUUGUCCGGAAUUAUUGGGCGUAAAGAGCUCGUAGGCGGUCUGUCGCGUCGGUCGUGAAAACUUGGGGCUUAACCCUGAGCUUGCGGUCGAUACGGGCAUGACUGGAGUUCGGCAGGGGAGACUGGAAUUCCUGGUGUAGCGGUGAAAUGCGCAGAUAUCAGGAGGAACACCGGUGGCGAAGGCGGUGCUCUGGGCCGAAACUGACGCUGAGGAGCGAAAGCGUGGGUAGCAAACAGG
rnacentral:rRNA from 1 species